UGGCAAUUUGGUGAGACAAUUCAGGGCAAACAAUGGACCUGCAGGCGUGUCAGUUGCCACGCGUGAAUCGGAGGGAUAUUCUUCGCCCCCUGCCCAGAGCAACAGUGGCAGCGUCUGUUUGCUAGGAGACGUGGCAGGCUGGGUGGCCAUGAUGAACACCGUCGCCUCUUCAGAUAGAGCCCCCUCACCGUUGAUGCAAUUGGUGCAGCCGGCCGGAGGUAACUCCCUGUUCAGUUUUGUUGAGCGAUCAUGCUCCCGAUUGCCCUGUACACCAAAGCCGCUGAGCUUGCCUUCGUCAAUUUGUUUGCGGAGUAUCUCUGCCUACUCAGCCUGCAGUUCCGGUCGGCCGCCGCGCUAGCUUGGUAGGACGCGGAGUUUGUCCUCCUCGCCGCCCUCGUCAUCGAGAACACCCCUUCCGCGAGUCCCGUUGUAAGAAGCGGGCCUCCGCCACCUCUGCCGCCGCUGUUGGCAGGUCCAGAUCCAGCACCAGGUAAAUUAUUGGUUCGACGGCGUCUUGAACUGGGGUGAUCUUGAUCGGCAUCCAUCUCGAGUGGCAGGCAGCAGCAUCAAAUCCACAAUAGGAUCAUAUCGGACAAGAGUGUUGCAGAUCACGCAGGUGAAUGAACCCUAUUAUCUGCUGCGCCUAUUUGUGUAGAAUGAAUAUUCAGAACUGGUCAAUGAUGAUUAUGCGACAAGUGAUGAUGAUGACAUGCAUGAGAUUCAGCUGUAGACAUAGACAGCCUGCGGCCCUGCACUAGCACUAUUCUUAAUGGCAUAUUAGUCUAUAUUUAAGUCUCUAUUUGAAUUUAGUUAAUGAUCAUGUAUGGCUAUGUUACGUAUGCUGUGUGUAAUUUUAUGUCAUACUAUCGUGCAUGCUACUAUGUGUCAGUUAUCACGAAUUGGUUCGAUAUUCGGAUUGAUAUCUUAAUCGAAUCUUCACUA